AAUUAUUACGUCAUUUCACCUCCUUCAUCCGAGAUUACCCGCUGAACUUAAGCAUAUCAAUAAGCGGAGGAAAAGAAACCAACAGGGAUUGCCUCAGUAACGGCGAGUGAAGCGGCAAAAGCUCAAAUUUGAAACCCUCGGGAUUGUAAUUUGAAGAUUUGGCAUUGGAGAAAGCUAACCCAAGUUGCUUGGAAUAGUACGUCAUAGAGGGUGACAACCCCGUCUGGCUAACCGUUCUCCAUGUAUUGCCUUAUCAAAGAGUCGAGUUGUUUGGGAAUGCAGCUCAAAGUGGGUGGUAAACUCCAUCUAAAGCUAAAUACUGGUGAGAGACCGAUAGCGAACAAGUACUGUGAAGGAAAGGUGAAAAGAACUUUGAAAAGAGAGUGAAAUAGUAUGUGAAAUUGUUGAUAGGGAAGGAAAUGAGUGGAGAGUGGCCGAGGUUUCAGCCGCCCCUCGUGGGCGGUGUACUGCCGACGCCGAGUCAUCGAUAGCGAGACGAGGGUUACAAAUGGGAGCGCCUUUCGGGCGUUCUCCCCUAACCCUCCACACUG
rnacentral:sRNA from 1 species